rnacentral:lncRNA from 1 species
UCUUGCUUUCUCCACCGCAGCCACACUGGCCUUUUGGUUCCUGCAGCCACAAGGCUCUGCCUAUGCUCCUAGUUCUAUGUGGGAUGUCUUCCACUUACCCACUCCCUCCCUUUGCCUGAAUAAUGCCUCCUUAUCCACACAUUUCAGCUCCAACAUCAUUUCACCAGAGAAACCAUUCCUAAGCCUCUAUCAGUCACCAUCAAGUUCCUCUGUGUUCUGGUUUAAAUGUGUUCCCUCCAAAAUUCAGGUGUUGAAACUUAAGGGUCAAUAUGAUAUUAUUAAAUGGUAGGGCCUUUAAGCAGCGAUGAGGUCAUGAGAGCAUUUCCUAUCAUAAAUCGGAUAAGGCCAUUAUAAAAUAGGCUUCUUGCAGCCUUUGGUGGGCUUGCCCUUUCGCCUUCUACCCUGUAAGGACACAGUGUCCCUCCCCUCAGGUGGCUGCAGCAACAAAGUGCCAUUUUGGAGGCAGAGAAAGACCUCACAAGACAAUCAAAUCUGCUGGCACCUUGAUCUUGGACUUGAUCCCAGCCUCCAGAACUUUUCUGGCAACCCCCUGUUUCUAUGAGCUCAACUAUUUUAGAACCCACAUCCAUCCCAACAGGUGUGAGGCUUGCAGUACAAUAUUGGAUAGCAAUAGAAAGAUUGGUAUGUGAAAGCAAUCUGACUGCAACAUCUGUCAACUCAUUCAUCACCAGGGUUGAUUUGGCAGAUCACUGGCUAUGCAGAGAUCCCCUUCCUCCUUCACUGCUUCACGUGCUUUUCUCCUGAAGCUGAGCACUUAGUUGAAGAGGAUGACGUUCCUCAAUAGAGGAGUACCAUUCUGUGAUCAAGGGUACACAAGUAGCUGCACUUCCCUGAUAGAAUCUCCAAACAUGAUCUCAAGAAGUAGCAAGAUUAUCCUGUUACUGAUCUUACAGAAUAUAGAUCAUCCACAAAAAAAGAAUCAAUAAGAAAACAGUGGACUUGAAAAACACUACAGAUCAAAUGGACAUAAAAGACAGAUGGAGAACAUUCCAUCUAGCAGCAGCAGAAUACACAUUCUCCUCAAGUGCACACAGAACAUUCUCCAGGACAGAUUACACAUUAGGUCACAAAACAAGUCUUAACAGAUUUAUGAAGACUGAAAUCACACCAAGUAUCUUUUCUGACCACAAGAGUAUGAAACUAGGAAUCAAUAACCAGAGGAAAAUUGGAAAUUCACAAAUAUGUGACAAUUAAGCAACAUAUUUCUGGGAAACCAAUGGGUCAAAUAAGAAAACAAACAUAAAUAAAAAAUUAAUCUAAAUGAAAAUGAACACACAAUAUGCCAAAACAAGGGAUGCAGCAAAAGCAGUUCUAGGAAAGAAGUUUAUAGCAAUAAAUGCCUACAGUACCAAAAAAGAAAGAUCUCAAAUAAACAACAAACCUUUACAAAUAACUAAAAAAAAGAAGAGUAAACUAAGCCCAAAGUUAGCACAAAGAAGGAAAUAAUAAAGAUUACAGCAGAAAUAAAUGAAAUAAAAACAUUAAAAAUUAGAAAAGGUCAACAAAACAGUUGGUUUCAGACAAGAUGAAUGAAAUGACAAUCCUUUGACUAGAUUAACUAAUAAAAAAAGAUAUCAGACUCAAAUAAAAUCAGAAUUGAACAAGACUUAACAACUGAUACCACAGAAAUAAAAAGGAUCAUAAAAGACUAUGAAUAACUAUAUGCCAACAAAUUGGAUAACCUACAGACACAGAUAAAUUCCUAGCCACAUAUAUCCUGCUGAGAAACAGAGUCUUCAUGAAGAAACAGAAAAUCUGAAGCAGGCAACAGCAAGGAGAUUGAAUCAAAAAUUUAAAAAUCCCAACAAAGUAAAACCCAGGACCAAAAAGCUUCAUUGAUCCUACAGCUCUGGAGACUGGGAAGAAGGAAAAAUCAUAAAGACUGGAUUAGCAAUGCAAGUUGGUGAUCUCUCUGGGUUCUUCAAAGGCCUUCAGUCACAGCAGACAUCCAAACACUGUUCCUUAUGAAUGGGAACACUCUCAGGUCCACUGUCAGUGACCUGUAUCUGCUAAGUUCACUGAGAUGCGUCAUGCACUCACUGGCUGACCUUGCAGGCCUUCAUCAGCUCUUUCACAUGCCUCCAGUCUCAUUCUACUGGUGGCUUUUCCCUUGCAGGCAACCAUUGUUGGUGAAAUCCUUUCAUGAUUAAAAUUGGCUUCUGCGCAGUGUCCACUGGCCCGCAGGGGGAAAAAUCCUUGCCCCACCAACAGUUUUUGCAUCUGUGCAGCUGCUGACUUCUCUCUCUUGGACCUAUCCACAUGGGCACGUUCAGCCAGCUCUCCACUUAUCUCUUCUCCAGGUGACAAGCCUGAGUAUUCCUCGAUCUUUACAUAAGCUCUCAAACUCCUGACACAUUUAUCAGGCCUUCUAGUGAACGUCCUACCCCACUCUGGUAACAGUCUAAAGUGAACCUACAAAUUCCUAUAGCUCAACAUGCAACAAGUUAAAGACUGAAAAGCUACUCCUCCUGUUUGUGGACAUGAGUGAUUUCCUUACUGUCCUUCCCCUUCUCUUGCACAUUUAGUUUAAGUGGGACCAAAGCUUAGGAAGGGGACUGAGCAGGAUAGUCAGAAUACUUAAAUUCCUUUUAAGAAUCUUCCACUGGGCCAGGCGCAGGGGCUCAUGCCUGUAAUCCCAGCACUUCGGGAGGCCGAGGCAGGCAGAUCUUUUUGAGCUCAGGAGUUCAAGACCAGCCUGGGCAACGUGGCAAAACACCAUCUCUUCAAAGAAUACAAAAAAUUAGCCAGGCGUGAUGGCAGGCACCUGUAGUCCCAGCUACUCAGGGGGCUGAGGCUGGAGAAUCACUUAAGCCUGGGAAGCAGAGGUUGCAGUGAGCAGAGAUUACGCCCCUGCACACCAGCCUGGGUGACAGAGUGAGACCAUGUCUCAAUAAAAAAGAAAAGAAAAGAAUCUUCCAUCAAUCACAUCUAUGUUCUCUAGUCUUUUGUAAUGUGAACUGGAUUAGGUAAGAUAAUUGCAGUCUUCUUUGGCUGUUUUAAGGAAUUCACUGAAGCAGUAUAUAGUAUGCAUGGUAAAUAUCCAUUGUCCACAGUUUAGGAUUUGGUCAUAAUUGGAGUCAACACAGGUAUUUCAAUGCAUACCUUACUUGUUGAACCAUUUUAGGGUAGACAGCAAUAUAACAUUUUAAGAAAGGCCAAAUGUGUGGCAAAAUGUAUAUGAAAUGCAAUGCAGCUUUCCUUAUUCACAAUCAGCACUUACCACCGUUGCUAUCCUUAUGCCCUAUUAGAAAUAGACCCUUCAUUUUUAAUAUUAUUUACGUAUGCAUACGUGUGUAUGAACCACAGCGUGUUUGUGUGUAUGUGUGAGGGUGGACGUGUACAUGCAUCCCAUCAUGUAGCACUUGACUAUCUCUCUAACCUCAUCUCACUUUCAGACGCUCAGGCCUUGAAGUUUCUUAAACAUGUCAAGACCUGCUUAUUUGCCCCACCCUGAGAGAGCUUCUGUAUUUGCUUUUUUCCUGUGUGGAAUAUUCUUUCCCCACAUAUCUACAUAAUGCUUCCCUUAAUUCACUCAGCACAAAUCUCUCCUUAUCAGUAAAGCUUUCUGAUAAGCUAACAGAGCUAGCCUUCUUGCUCAGCCUUCCUCUAGCUCUCUUUCAUCCUUUACUUUUAUCCAUAACACAUUUUCACAUGAACUUGUAUCAUAUGUCCAUUUGUUUAUCUCUUUAUCAUUGCUCUUCAGCAGGAAACCUAAUUUCCCUGUCUGGAUCACCACAGUAUUUUCAGUAUUUAAAGUAGUUUCUGGCAUAUGAUAGGUACUUGAAACAUGUUUUUUUUAAAUAAAUUAAUCAUUGAUUAUUGAAAUCAGCAAGGUUGCUUGCAGUCUAUUGCAAGGGAUAUAUCACAAAAUAUCACUGACUGGCUGCAUUAAAUUUUGAUUUUCCUAAUACGUAUAUAUUUUAAACAACUUGACUGAGUAAAAUCCACUAAAAAUACAUGGCAAGCAAGACACAGUAUAACAAAUCCAAAAAGAAGACAUUAAAAGAAAUCCAAGAGAAAAAAAAUAGAAAAUCUACAAGAAAUGAUCAUCAGACUAUCAGCUGAUUUUUCCUCAUCAAAAUUGGAAGCCAGAAAAGCACAGAAGAUAUUUAAAGUGCUGAGAGAAACUAUCAACUUUGAACUGUGUACUUAGCAAAGCUGUCUUUCAAGAAUGAGGGUAAAAGACAUCAUAGAUAAAUAAAAACUGAGAAACCGUCAGUAAGGAAAAUCCGAAAAAAUGUCCUGGAAGAAAGAAAACAAUCCCAGAACAGAGGUUUCAGAUACAAUCAUAAAUGGUGAUAAGAAAAAUGGUAAAUAGCGAGCAAGUAUAGAGAAACACUGAUGGUUAAAACAGUACAAUCAUACCUCGUCAGUGCUACUAGUCUUUUAUAAAUACAACUAAAGUCCUAAGCAUGUAAGUUAGGACAUGACUAUUGCUUUAAAAUAGAAAGAAAACAUAAAGUUCUUGUAUUGUUGGUGGGAAAAAAAAGAUAGUGAAGUUUAGGAUGUGUUAUAAGUAGGUUAAAUUUUUAAAGGUAGUUACUAAAAUAAUAGAAAAAAAGUGUGCAUUUUCUGAAAAAAGAGGUCACAUAGAGAAAAAAUAAACUAAUUUAAUUAAAAAUAAAGCAAGGGGCGGGUGAAAGUAAGGGGACAAACCAAUAAUGGAACAAAAAGAAAAAACAAAAUAAGAUGAUAGAGAUAUGUUUCAGUAUAUUAUAAAUCAUAACACAUAUAAGUGAAUUGAACUCCCCAAUUAAAAUACACAGUCAUAUUAGAAAACAAAUCCAGGAAUGCUGUUUAUAGGAGAUAGACCUAGUAUGUAAUAAAGAGAAAGUCUGAAAGUAAAGGAAUGGUAAAUGAUAAGCCAGGAAAAUACUAGAAAAGAAAAAAAGCUGUUUUUGCUAUAUUAAUAUCAUAAAUAUAAUUGAGGAUAAAAAUAUUUACUUAAGAUAAUUAUUAAAUAUUAAUAAAGGAUUUAUAAGCAUAUAAUAGUCUUAAUUUUACUGUACCUAAUAACAGAGUUUUUAAAUAUCUAAAGCAAAAAUUAACAGUUCCAUAAAGAUAAAAAAAUCUAUCAUGAUAUGUGGAAACUUCAACACCACAUUUUUAAAUAGCCAUUAUAGAAUCUUGCAAAAAUCCUGCAGCCAAAUAUGGACUAUUUUAACAAAAUAAUUAAUAAGCUUGUGCUAAUGGACAUAUAAAAUAUUACACUCAAUAAUAUGUGGAUGCCGAUUCUAUUUAAGCACACAAAGAACAUUUUACAAAUAGCAAGAACACUUGUCAAUAAAGCGGGUCUCAUAAACUUCCAGGAACUAGUAUGAUACAGAUCAAAUUUUAUGAAUGUCUUAUAUUUAAAUUGAGUCAAUAACAAAAAUUGUGACUAAAACACUCAUACGUUUGGAAAUUUAAAAAUACACAUUUAAUACACUAAUGGCUCAAAAAAGGAGAUAAUGGAAAUAAGACAUUUUAAAAACUAAACUCUUGAGAAUUCUUUAUAGAAAACAGCAUGUAACUCAAAUAGUACUUAAAGAAAAAUUUAUAGCUCUAAUAAGUAGAAAAGACUACAGGUUGUAAAAUAAUGAGCUAAAUAAUUUAAGAAAUUAUUAAAAGAAAUAUAUGACCUCCCCCCAAAUAAAAUAAAUAAUAAAAAUAGAAGAAAUUCAUAAAAUAUAUGACAUCUACAAAGGCCAAAGUUUGCUCUACAGGAAUUAGAGAAUUGUCAAACUUCUGACAGAGUUGAUCAAGAAAAAGAGGAAAAAUAAGCGGUAUGAUAAUGAAAAAGAUAUAUUGCUAAAGCUCCUGCAAACAUUGAAGUGUUAAAAGAGGAUAUUAUGAACGGAUUCAUAUGACUAAUUUUGAAAAUUUGGCUCCAAUAUGUAAAUGUCAAGAAAAAAUACAACACUCCUAAAUUGACUCAAAAAGAAAUACAAAUUCCAAAUAGUUUCAUAAUAAUGAAAGAAUUUGAAUCAGUAGUUACAAAUCUUCCUAAAUAACAAGGCUCUGUGACUUUAGAGGAAAGUUUUACCAAACGUUGAGAAAACAAAUUUCCCAAUUUUUACCGAACUAUUACUCUAAAGUAGAGAAAUAUAGAGACAGUCUCAUAUUCACUUUAUGAAGCCCUGAUGCACUAGAUUGAUGGGUCUUUAUAAGAAUUACAGACCAAUUUCAGUAAUUAACUUAUAUGCAAAAAUUCCAACCAAAAUAUUAUUAGCAAACCAAAUGUGGAAAUGCAUAACAAUGAUAAUAAAUCAUAACCAAGGUAGAUGUAUCUCAAGAAUACAAAAAUUUUUAAUAUUUAAUUAAUAUAACUUAUCACAUUAAGAAAUUAAAUAGAAUUCACUUCAUAAUACCAAUAGCCACCUAUAAAACAUUUCAUACAAUGUAAAAUUCUCUCACAGGAGAAAGAAAAUUCUUAGAAAAGUAGAAAUGAAAGGUAAUUUCUUCCACAAAAUAUAAAAUAUUUACAAUAGCCUGUAGUAAACAUAAUAUUUAAUGGUGAAACAGAUAAUCUAGAAAGACACAAGAAUACUCACCAUGUUCAAUUGUCUUCAGCAUUAUAUCAGAGAUUUUAGCCCAUGUAAUAAGGAAAUACAAAUUUUAAAAUGGCAUAAUUAUUGGAAAAAAAGAAAUAAAACUGUCAUUAUUUGCAGAUGAUAUCAGAAAGAAACCCCAAAUGACUUAUAAAUUGUUACUAGUUUUGCAAUAAUAAUGAUGUACAAUUAGCAAAAAAUAAACAGCCCCUUUGUACAUCAGAACAGAGAAUGUAAUUGUAAUAAGAUGCCACUAAAAUUCUUUUCAAAAACACAAAUUACCUACAUAUAUAUAUUUUUUGUCUUUGGAGAAAUUAUUAUUAUUAUUAUUAUUAUUUUGAAACAAGGCCUCGCUCUGUCUUCCAGGCUGGAAUGAGACAGCACGAUCUUGGCUCACUGCAGCUUUGACUUCCCGGGCUCAAGCAAUCCUCCCAUCUCAGCAUCCUGAGUAGCUGGGACAACAGGUACAUGCCACCCCACCUGGCUAAUUUUUGUAUUUUUUGUAGAGACAGGGUUUUGCCAUAUUGUCCAGGCAGGUCUCAAACUCCUGAGCUCAAGUAAUCCACCCACUUCAGCCUCCUUAAGUGCUGGGAUUACAGGCAUGCACCGCCAUCCCUUGCCCAAGAAGAAAUUAUAAAACUUGAUUAAGAAACUUCAAAGAAAGUAUAAAUAAAUGUAAACAUAUGCUCAGAAACAAAUAGACUCAAUCAUCUAAAAAUGUUAAUUAUUGUCAAACUCAUCUGUAGAUUCAAUGCAAAAAAACCUCUCAUGGAAUGUUUCAUGCAAAAUGACACGGUGAGUUUAAACUAUACAUUUAAGAACAAAGAAAAUGUCAAGAUCUAGUGAGGAAGAAUAAGAAAGUGAAAAAAUUUUUCCUAUCAGAUAGUCAAGACCUCUUAUAAAGUUGAAGUAAUGAGUAGUAUGUGGUACUGAUUCAGAGAUAGGUGAAUGGACUAAUGGGGUAAAACAGAGCAUGUAUUAAAUUCACCAUCAUUUUUGAAGGACAGAUUUGUUGGACAUAGAAUACUUGGUGAUGGUCUUUUUCUUUCAGCACUUUGAUGAUGUCAUCCCACUGCCUUCUGGCCUACAUAGUUUAUGAUGAGACCUAAGUUGUUGAUUUUAUUGAGGAUUUUUGGAGGUGAUGAGUUGCUUCUCUUUUGCUGUUUUUAAGAUUUUUUUCUCAUCAUUGGAUUUCAAUGGUUUCAUUAUGGUGCGUCUAGGUAUGGAUCUCUGAGUUUAUCCUAGUUGGAGCACUGAGCUUCAUGAAUAUGUUGAUUAAUGUUUUUAUUGAAUUUGGGAAAUAUUCAGCCGUAAUUUCUUCAAAUAUUCUUUCUUCCCCUUUCUCUUUUCUUCUCUGAAACUUAUUAUGCAUAUGUUGGUACAUUUGAUCAUGUCCUACAGACCUUUGAAACUCUGUUCAUUUUUCUUCAUUCUCUUUUCUUCCUGGUCUUCAGACUAGAUAUCUUCAGGUUUGCUGACAUUUUCAUCUGCCUGCUCACAUUUCUACUAAGCCCUUCUAGUAAAUUUUUCAUUUAAGUUAUCGUGUUUUUCAAAUCCAGAAUUUUCCUUGGUUCUUUUAUUUUAACAAUGUCUGUGUCUUUAUUAGUAUUCUGUUUAUAGAGUCAUACAUCCUCAUACAAUCUUUAGACAUGGCUUAACUUACUUCUUUAAAUUAUUAAAAAUAUCUAGCUUAGUUUUUGUCUAGUAAGUCUGAUAACUGAGCUAACUCAGGGACAGUUAUUAUUGACUGAUUUGUUUUUCCUCUGUGUGGGGCAUUCUUUCUUGUUUCUUUGCUUGUCUCAAACAUUUCUGUGGAAAACUGGACAUUUUAAACAAAACAGUAUGGUAAAACUAGAAGUCAUAUUCUCACCUCUUUCCAGGAUUUGUUGUUGUUCCUUUUUGUUAUCGUCAUUUUCUUAGUGACUUUUGUGAAAUCGUUGUGUAAAAUCUGUGUUCUAUGUUUUAUAUGCUACUGAAGUCUUUGCAUUGUUAGCUUAGUGGUCAGUCAAUGAUUGGAUAAAUAUAUUUCUUUUAAUGCUUAAAACCAGCACUCCCCCAGCCUUUGCCGAGGGGCUCUGUGUGUGUGUGUGUGUGUGUGUGUGUGUGUGUGUGUGUGUGUGUGUGUGUGUGUCUUAGGGCACAUUUUAAAUAUUUAGCCAGGCAGCUGACAACUCUACCCGGACCUUCACUUCCUGUUUGAACAGAGCCUCAAAAUCAGUUUGACAUAAGAGCUUAGGGCCUUUUCAGGUCUUUCCUGAGUAGGAACACAAAUCUGAGUAUGCAUAUAGCCCUAUCAUACAUGUGGCUUUCUAGAUUCUUAGGAAUCUGAUGGGGCUUUUCAUAGUCCUUAUGCACAUUCCUCAGGUUUUCUUUGAUGCUUUUGGCUAACCUACUGUUUGCCCCAUUGUUAUCCACCACCUCAAGCAGCCAUAAAGUUGAGUGAUCGCCACUAAUUUUUCACAACAAAUACUUCUAAGAAAAAGGCUUUCACACUGUGUGAAAACCUCAUGAAGCCAAAUAAAGCCUUGCAAGUAAGUUAUGCAGGGAAGCACUGGACAGGUCAAAUAAUGACAAUUCUCUAGGAUUGAGGCUUUGAAGGAGUUCCAAUUCCAUUAUCCACUCCCUUAUCUCCCCAUCAGAGGUUGGCAAGUUACUAGUUUAUGCUAAGAAUGCAGGCUGUGAUUUGGUAAGGCUACCAUGGACCUAGAAAGGGGAAGAUGGAAAUACGAUGAGUUAAAACACCACAAAUCUCUCUGUUCUCACCAAAAUUCAGCUGGUUUGUUUUUUGAAACAUGCUUCCUGAGUUGUUGGAAGACUUUGAUUACUUUCCUGAGUUUUGAAAAAUUUCAUCCUGACACAUUUUGCCUGUUUUAUCAUUGUUUUUAUGGAGAAAAGAAUUUUUGAACUCUUAGACUGACACUUUGCUGAUGUCAUUGUGGUAAAAUGACUUUGGAAUUCCACUUGGCAUUACCUCCUGAAAUUUACUGUGAAAGUAGCCUAGGAGCGGACUGUUUUACUCUUUGUUAUACUCUAGUGAAAGAGCAGCCAUGUUCAAGGGUGUUCAUAUAGCAUUAUUCAAAAAAGCAAAAACCUGGAAACAACAACAAUGUCUUGCAGAAGAAUAAAAAUAUAAAUUAUGGUGCAAAGGGAAUAUUUUAUAGCAAUGAAAAUGAAUUAAUCAUUCAUAUAUAUAUAUAUAUAUCUCCACAUGGAUAAAUCCUCAUAAUAUACCUUUUAGGGGAAAUAUGCUGAAGAAGAAUAUAUUCGAUAAGGUUCCAUUUUUAUAAAGCAAAAAGCAUGUUUAAAGCUAUUAACAAGACGAAAGGAAUUUUUUUUUUUUUCUGAGAUGGAGUCUUACUCUGCCACCCAGGCUGGAGUACAGCAGUGCAAUCUCGGCUCACUGUAACCCCUGCCUCCUGGGUUCAAGCGAUUCUCAUGUCUCAGCCUCCCACAUAGCUGGGAUUACAGGCGCCUGCCAACACACCUGGCUAAUUUUUUGUAUUUUUAGUGAGCACGGGGUUUUGCCACGUUGGCCAGGCUGGUCUUGAACACCAGACCUCAAGUCAUCCACCCGCCUCAGCCUCCCAAAGUGCUGGGAUUACAGGCAUGAACCACUGCGCAGGGCCAUAAUUUAAAAAAAUAUAAUAGAUUAAUGACUAUCUGGUUUUAAAAUAUAGGAAUGAGAUAAGUACUGAGAGAAUUUUAAUAUUGUGAGCAAAGUUCAAUUCUUAAAUUGGAUGAGGAGUUCGUGGGUAUUUAUUUUAUUAUUAUAUUUUGUUAGGUAAGAAUGUAACUUCUUGUCUUUUUGUAUGUCUCAAAUGUUUUAUAAUAAUAAAAAAGAUAAAAUUUUGCUUACUUAAAAUAGAUAGUUUUAGCCCCUUUUUUAAAUGUAUAUUUGUGCUAUCUGUAAAAGAAUGUCCUGAUAGAGUGGUUGAAAGAAAACAGAGGAUUAUCAGAUUUACAUAUUUUAUUAUUUAUUAACCUAUCUGCAGGAUCUUAAAAGGUUACUUAAUGUCUUUGAGCCAGUAUCCUGUACUUACUUCAAGGGUACAUUGUGAGAAUAAUAGUAAAUUACAUAUAAACUGGCUGCCUAUAGAAGGCACUCAAUGAGUAGCAGUUAUUAUUAGCAACAUGACAUCAUAAUACACACUCAAACUCAUAUUCAUUCAGUAUAUGCUCAAAUUCAUCCAUCACUCAGAUAACCAGGUGUUUAGGAUUUUUUUUGUUUUUGUUUGUUUUGAUAAAUAUGUCCAGAAGCUAAAAGCAACUUUGACUAUUUUAUGAAGACAUGGUAGCAUUGUCAAAAGAACACCAAAGUGAAUCUUUAUAUUAAACUUCAAUAAGUAUCAAUCCUUUUUUAUUUAUGAUUACAAAAUGUUCACCUUUUAGAGCUAUUUCUAUGUCUUUGACAUACUUUCUAAAAUGUCCUAUAAAACAAUAAAACCAUUUUGAGAUAAUUAUUCUUCCAAUUAUGAUUUCCAAUACACCAAACAUGCCAACAAUUUCAGAAUAUUUUUGUUCCUUUGUAAGAGAAUCUGAGAAAUAGCCAAUUUGAAUACCUGUAAAUUUGAGGAAUUCCUUCUUAUGUAUUUUUAAAAAUGUAUUGUUUAAAAACUUGGAAAGUCUGAAAGUCCCCAUGAUUUUCACUGAGCUCCACUGAGCAGGUCUAUGCUGUGCCAAAAAAUAUACCAAUUUGCUGAUAUAGUUUGCUGCACAUGUUCUAUUUAAGCAUUAACAGGAAACCCACCCCCUGUGCCUGGUUCAUUCUUCUAAUUCCUUCAGCUCAUCAAUAUCCCCUGGGGGAAGAAAGGAAAGGACCUAUCAAAAGUUAGGAGGUUAGCCAUGGUCAAGUUCAGCAUCAAACAAAAUUUCCAAGUCAUACAAUUUUUUCUGGCAUUUUCUUUUUUUGUGCACAUUUCUUAUCUUUUAGGUCCUCAUCCUCUGUGAUCUCAGAGACCUCCUCUAGCUAGCUCUCAUCUCUUAUUUCCACACUAUAUCCAGGCACAUCAUAUUUCAAAUAAAGCUCUUAAUUUUACUCUAUUUUCCAAGAAAAAUUAGUGCAAUCUCAUACGAUGUGGUAUCGUAACAUGCCAAUUUUAUUUAAUUAAAUGUUGAUUUACUGGGAGAAUGGGAUAGAAUAUGUGAGAACUGAAUGUAGAUGCAGAAAAAUGAAUAACAAAAUGCUCAAGUCUUUUCUUUUCACAUUUCUUAUUACUUACCAGUGUCCUUGAAUAAGCUUCCCUAUUUUCUUCCAAGUUCUGAAUGAAUCGAAUCCACAAACCAUGAGUAAUAAUGCUCCUGGCCUGCAGGUAUAUCAGCCCCAUCAUAUUUGAGUCUGGGACACGUAGGCACUGGGUAGUUUUUGUGGUUGUUGAAUAGCGGUCCACAAACAUGGCUGUCUACCUCAGUUACACAUGUUCUUUACUAUGGCUCCAAAUCAUUUGUGAGUUCUACUUUUCCCCCAUGGCAUCUCUGUAGCCUUACCCAAAUUAUUAGCAACCCAGGGCUUCAGUCUCUUGACCUGUCAGCAUAGUACCAGUGCCUCUGUUAUGAUUCUGCCUAUCUUGGACUUUUACAAUGGACUUGGCAAUCAGAAAGAUAACCCAGCUGCACAAUCUGGAAUGUUCAUCAAAGCAAACUGAAAUUUCAGAAUAUCUACCGCUUGGGAUGCCAUAGUGUUAUAAUUGAGAUUCAUAUCCACUUUUCAUUUGCAAAUAGCUCAAAAUGCCAGUGCCAUGGAUGACCUUCAAUAUUAUCAAUUCCACCUAGAUGAUUGUGCAGAACCAGAAAUUGAGCCCCAGAAAAGUUACAGAUUUGCCACAAAUGACACACUAUGCAAGUGGUGGAACCUGGACUAAGAUUUCUUGAUUCUUAGGCUGGCUUUUCUUUUUUUUUUUUUUUUUUUUUUUUUUUUACUGUUUUCUUUUCUUUUUAAACCAUGCCUGCUGAUUCCUUAACCAGAGGAAGGGAAGAAAUUUGUACCAAUCGUUGUUCUCAAUAUAAAUACCUGAUGUUACUACAGCUGGUGGUCAGCAUGCCCAUACUAUGUGUUGUUGACACAUUGUUUGGAACUGGCUAUUUUAAAUGGAUAACUUCUAAACAUGGAAUUAUGUUUUUAUUCAACUAUCUUCGUGCAUAUAUUUGGCAAUUCUGCACACAGUGAAGCUAAUAAUGAUGCUUCUGAUGACUGAAACACGUGGGCAUUCUACUUGAGAAGGUUUCUGAAUUAUUGCUUAAACUUACACAAACUUAAAACAAUUAGAAAUUGUGAAAGCUAACAUAAUAAUUAUCUUUGUUAUCAAAGAGCUGUGCCAGCAUAAUCUUUAAAAUUAUAAUAUUGUGGCCUGGCUGAUUUCUGCCAUUUGGAUUCUUUUUAAAAUAAGAUGUUCAAAUUUUAUUUUAAAGUGUUAAUUUAUUGCAGUGGUGCAAGUACAACACAAGCACUCAAAUAGGAAGAAUUUUUCCUCAAGUUCUACUGGGAGAUAGCCAAAACCUCUCCACAGGCUGAUUCCUUUCCUCUUUUUAUUUGCUCAUUUUCAAAGGUAAAGACUGAAGAGUAAGCACCACAUUAAUGACCCCAUAUAUCCCCUGAGAUGAGCAAUGUCCUAAUACUACUUAUGUCAAAUAUAUACAGGCACAUCUACUUUUUAAAUAGAGCUCACCCUAUCAAAAUUAUAUUUCCGUAGGCUCUGACUCUUUAAAGAGUUAAGAGUAAAGACUUCUUGGACAAACGUUGCAUUGUGAAGUGCACAUUCCUACUCCACAUUUUUAAUCACAACUGGAAGAGUCCCAUGUAAUUGAAUAAAAAUUCACUAGACAUAAAGAAAAGUAAUCCUAAUUACAUUUUAUCUUGGUUUCACAAAACUCACAGUGCAUAUGUUAUUGGUCAUAAUAUAUUUCCCUAAGCCCCGCAAUUGCUAAAAAUACCGAAUCAAUCACGACCCAGAUUGCGUCAUGAAGUGUGUGAACUAGUGCAUUAAAAGGCCGUGUUAGCACCAACAAAGUUUAUUGGGGUAACUGCAUUCAAGACGCACAUGGCGUACCUUUAAAUAGCACUGUUAAAAUACCAAAUAAAAUGUCAACGUCUGUCAGGUCUCUAGCUUUUAUAAAUUGUUUAGACUGGGAAACGCUGGGGUUUGGACAUUGUUCUUUUCAUACGAUGUAGAAAAGAAGAGACCAUAAAAAGAAAAGAACAAUAAAGCAUAGCUCAUUUUUUAAGUUCUUUCAUGGAAAAACACACUCUGGAUCAUUACCCUUCUAAUCAACAAUUUCCUUCCUCCUCCCAAUCCUUCCCGUCUGGUAUUUACCUUUCUCUGCCUCCCUCUCUCUGGGUGGUAUUCUGAGCUUAUACACACUUCUCAGUAAUCAUAUUUUUAAAAUUGCCUCAAAAGAGAAUCUCAGGAUGGCAUGACAGACAUGUAUAUACUAAAGGUAUUUUUUACCUGAACCAUAGCUUUGCUUAUUAUCUCUGUGCUCUUACAUGCACACCGGUGGGCCCUGACUGCAGAGUGUUCUCAGGCAGAAGAAGGCCCUGAGAGCAGGAUGAGCUGCUCCCUGCCUACAGAUGAGUUAUUAUCACACCUUAGUGGCCAUCUCUACCCUCUUCCUUCUGCCCUUCCUUUUAUUACCACGCCACACUCCCCGCAAUUCCCACAUAACAACAUCUCUGUUUCAGUUUCUUCUCUGGAUUUCCCACACUUAAUGCAACCCGGACCUCACCUUCAGCUCUCCUGAGGCCACUUUGGAAGCCAGCUCGAUGACACAGCCAACAGCCAUGCGUGCAGCACCGGACGAGUGUAGCUCAUUCCAAAUGGUGUCACUGUCCACCUGAGCAAACAGUCAGCAGAGUCCGAAGACAGAAGAAGAAAGCGAAAGAGAAGGAAGAGAUGAAAGGGUGAUAGCAUCAAGAGGGCCACUUCCUUAAGAGAGCUCUGAUUUCAACUGCUGAAGAACAUCUUGACAGUAGGAAAAAACUAUAGACUGCAGAAAGCUGGACUCAAGGGGUGCGGCACAAACAAGGAACACAGAAAGCGACAUGUGAGCAAACGAGAGAGAAAAAUGUUUCAGUUUUCAGCGCUUUGCAGUCUUGAUAUCAGAAAACCUGCACAUUCCAAAGUGUUUCACCACAGAUGAAUGUAUUUCCUUACUUAGAUUUGAUUUAAAACAAAGAGGUAUUUUACAGUCACCUAUGUGUGCAAGAAGAUAUGCUGGAAUCCCUGCUUCUUGGCAUCAUAAGAUUCUGCACUAAACUUGCUCUCCACUUUUCUCAUUGGAACUGCCGAGAAGACCCUGAAGGGACAACAGUAGCUUGGUUUUGCGUCCCAGAAUUGUUUUGUAAUUACUUUGUGUUG